rnacentral:lncRNA from 1 species
AACCAGGCUGAUGAAUAUUUCUCCAACUAGAAGCAAAAUUGGGGUUUGCUCAUUAGCUUCUUUUGAUAAUGAGGAGGGCAUUUUUUUAAUUGUGGGGUUUAGAUAUCAAUAAAAUAGACAUAUGUUUAUAUAAUAGCAUUUAAAGGAAGUAGACUAAACAGACAGAAAACUCAUUAGACAGUGAGUGAGAACUUCAUAGAUAAAAGACUUCGUAAUUGUUAGUUUUAUUCUUUUUGUAUAUGUGUGUGUUCUUAUGUGUUUUACUUCUAUGUUUAUGUUUUGUUAUCUGAGAUAUGUUUUUAGCAAUGGGGUAGUUUCAGUAGUGUUUAGAAUUUAGAUGAGUAGCUUUUUUUAAAAAAACAAAACAAAAGCAGGACCUGUAAUUUUUGUAAACAUGCUCUUAUUUACACAAAUUACCCACAAAUAUAGCAUGGGUAACUGAAACUGUGGAUAUCAAAUCUGUGGAUAAGGUGGUCAUAUUGCACUAUUUUCCUCUACACCUCAGGCAGCAAACUAAUUGAAGAGAACCAGGACAUGGUACUAUGACCUCCAAGAGAAGGAAAGUUCAAGAGGGACCCGAGGAAGACUGCCAUUACAGUCCACCAGCACCUAUGGCAGAGGGGAGAUUUACUGCUCUACCUAAGUGACUUGAGAUAGCCCUAAAAUAAUAACAAUGGUAUGUAUAUAUUAUAUUUCAUGCUUUAUUGAAUUUCACAAGAGCCUUAUGUGAUAAAACCAAUAAACACAGGAGCACAAAUGAACAAGUUGUACACAAAGGGGACAUGGAGAAAUAAAAGUUUGGGUGAGAGUGGAAUAACUAGGACUGUACCUGCGAAUUCAGGACAGUUGCAGAUAUAGUGGUGGAUAAAUUUCAAGCUUCCUUGUGGAUCUAUCUGCCCUAACAUGGCCAUAAAACUGCUGCUGUCCAGCUUCCUGGAUUUCAAUGUUAGAAAUAAGUAAUGCUUUCAAAUGCUGGUGUUUAAUUAAAUAAAAUAAUUAAAUGUAAUUAAAUACUUUAUUUAUCUAUUUAUUUAUUUGUAGCAUUUAUAUUCCGCUCUUCUCACCCCAAAGGGGACUCAGGGUGGAUUUAGGUAAAAGGUUUUCCCCUGACGUUAAGUCCAGUUGUGACCGACUGGGGGUUGGUGCUCAUCUCCAUUUCUAAGCCGAAGAGCCGGCAUUGUCCGUAGACACCUCCAAGGUCAUGUGGCCGGCAUGACUGCAUGGAGCGCCUUCCCGCCGGAGCGGUACCUAUUGAUCUACUCACAUUGGCAUAUUUUCGAA